AUUGAACGCUGGCGGCAUGCCUUACACAUGCAAGUCGAACGGCAGCGGACCUUCGGGUGCCGGCGAGUGGCGAACGGGUGAGUAAUAUAUCGGAACGUACCUUUCAGUGGGGGAUAACGUAGCGAAAGUUACGCUAAUACCGCAUAUUCUGUGAGCAGGAAAGCAGGGGAGUCGCAAGACCUUGCGCUGAUUGAGCGGCCGAUAUCAGAUUAGCUAGUUGGUGAGGUAAAGGCUCACCAAGGCGACGAUCUGUAGCGGGUCGUGAGAGGAUGAUCCGCCACACUGGAACUGAGACACGGUCCAGACUCCUACGGGAGGCAGCAGUGGGGAAUAUUGGACAAUGGGCGCAAGCCUGAUCCAGCAAUGCCGCGUGAGUGAUGAAGGCCUUAGGGUUUGUAAGACUCUUUUACCCGGGAUGAUAAUGACAGUACCGGGAGAAUAAGCUCCGGCUAACUUCGUGCCAGCAGCCGCGGUAAUGUCG
rnacentral:rRNA from 1 species